rfam:Ovis aries breed Texel chromosome 6, whole genome shotgun sequence.
UGGCUCAGAUGGUAAAGUGUCUGUCUGCAAUGCAGGAGACCCGGGUUCGAUCCCUGG